GACGAACGCUGGCGGCGUGCCUAACACAUGCAAGUCGAACGGAAGUAAGUGCUUCGGUAUUUACUUUAGUGGCGAACGGGUGAGUAACGCGUGAGGAACCUGCCUUUCAGUGGGGGACAACAGUUGGAAACGACUGCUAAUACCGCAUGACGCUUCUUAGGGGCAUCCCUGAGAAGUCAAAGCUUUAUGUGCUGAAAGAUGGCCUCGCGUCUGAUUAGCUAGUUGGUGGGGUAACGGCCUACCAAGUCAACGAUCAGUAGCCGGUCUGAGAGGAUGAACGGCCACAUUGGGACUGAGAUACGGCCCAG
rnacentral:rRNA from 1 species